GCCCUCUCCGGGCCCCUGCUCCCAGGCCGGGGUGUGCAUUUUAGGGGAAGUGCACUGAGAUAGGAGAAGGGCAGCUGGAUGGAGACUGCUGAGACGUCGGCACCUCAGGGGCUUUUCUCUAAGGCUAUUCUGUUUCUCCAGGCAAGAGUCUCCAGUUCUCUGCUGGGGGUGUCUGCUUGGCUCCAGUGUUCUGGGAGCCCUGUAGGGGAUGGUCACUAGGGAGGGACAGUCGCCCACCUUCCACAACGUGAACCUGUACUGCUUCCCCCAUUUCUGGUGAAGAUUCUCCCCCAUAUCCACUCCAGUCUCUUAUGUAGGUAGGUGAGGGGGCUGGGGGUCAGACCAGAAAAAAGUCCCCUGUUAAAGAAAAAAAAUUAUUCAAUGAUCCUUUUUUUUUUUUUGAGACGAAGUUUCGCUCUUGUUGCCCAGGCUGGAGUGCAGUGGCGCCAUCUCGGCUCACCGCAACCUCUGCCUCCUUGUUCAAGCGAUUCUCCUGCCUCAGCCUCCCGAGUAGCUGGGAUUACAGGCAUGUGCCACCAUGCCCGGCUAAUUUUGUAUUUUUAGUAGAGACAAGAUUUCACCAUGUUGGUCAGGCUGGCCUCGAACUCCCUACCUCAGGUGAUCUGCCCGCCUUGGCCUCCCAAAGUGCUGGGAUUACAGGCGUGAGCCACUGCACCCAGCCCUCAAUGAUACUUUUUAAAGCAUGCUGAGGAAGAACAUAUUCAGGAGCAUGGCAGGCACAGGGACCACUGCACUGGGGCCUUAUAGUUAAGGGGAGAGACUGGGCUCUGAAUACAGCAUGGGCCAGUGGGAAUCUAUAGCCAAGGGGCAGGGUGAGCAUCAGUGGGUGGAAAAUCCAGAGGAAACAUCAGUGGUGAGGGGGAUUCUGGUUGAACCAAUCUAACAGGAUUCCAACUGAAGACAGGCCUCAGCGUAACCAGACAUUGCCUGGGGGUGGUGCAGGGAAGGAGCCUCAAGAGUGAUCAGUUAUCAAGGGUUCUGGCUAAACUGACUUAGCAGGGUUCUUUACUGAAACUGGAUUUUACAAGGACGUGCAUAUAUGGGCACCUAGGAGAAGGUUCCGGAGCCUAAGGCUGGACCAAGCACAGCAUCUUCAUCAGCCCUACCAGCCCCUUCCCUGGUGCGUGCUGCCUCUGAGGUCUGAGUCCCCUGGGUUCUGAGGCAGGACCUGGCCACUUCUCACCACGCUGCUUUCUCUGCCCUGUCAUUUACCCUCCUCCAUCCUUGUCCAUUGUCUUCCAGAGCUGCACUUCCUCCAUCUCUGCUAUUGCCUCCUCCCCUGCUCCCUUUUUCCUGUUGGGAUUUCACCUUUAAUGGGGCUUCAGCAGGGCAGGGACAUAAGCACAUGUUUU
rnacentral:lncRNA from 1 species